UGCUCUGGUUCUUGGAGAUGUAACUAUGUCACCGAUGCCCCCUCGGCAAGAUGCCCAAUUUGCGGUAGCAGUAUGAGUACCAAACUUUCAUGGGUUGUUGGGCCAGCUGUGUCAUCCUCGUCCGAGACAUCCGGCAGUGAGGGUGGUUAUGUGCAAGGCGUUGUGACAUACAUGGUGAUGGAUGAUCUGGUCGUGAAGCCUAUGUCCACCAUUUCUUGUGUUACUCUCAUCAACAAGUUCAAUGUGCAGGAACUUCGGGAUCUUGAAGAGAAGGUGGUAGAUUUUGGGACGGAUGAGGACAUAUUAAGCCUUUUAUUCAUGUAGAUGUUAGUGAAAAUUGGAGGAUUAUUGAAUAACACGAGCGAUGUUAGUUAGAGCAUUUCUAAUGAUAGUUAAGAGAUUUCAGUGAGCCAUUGCUGGGAUAUGGAUGGUAGUAGUGUUGCCAU